GAUGAACGCUGGCGGCGUGCCUAAUACAUGCAAGUCGAGCGAACAGACGAGGAUCUUGCUCCUCUGACGUUAGCGGCGGACGGGUGAGUAACACGUGGAUAACCUCCCUAUAAGACUGGGAUAACUUCGGGAAACCGGAGCUAAUACCGGAUAACCUGUUGAACCGCAUGGUUCAACAGUGAAAGUCGGUCUUGCUGUCACUUAUAGAUGGUUCCGCGCCUCAUUAGCUGGUUGGUAUGGUAACGGCUUACCAAGGGAACGAUUCGUAGCCGACGUGAGAGGGUGAUCGGCCACCGUGGAAGUGAGACACGCACAAGAGUCCUGCGGUACGCCGCAGUAGGGAAUGGUCCGCAACGGGCGAGAGUCUGGCGGAGCGACGCCGCGUGAGUUAAGAAAAUGUUGCGUUCGUAAAGCUGUCUUAUUAGGGAAGAACCGAUGUGUAAGUAAAUGUGGCCGUCGUGACGGUACCUAGUAAGGAAGCACCGGCUAACUACGUG
rnacentral:rRNA from 1 species